AAAUUAGGGGUGGAGUUACCUGCAUCUUCUGUUUAUUUUCCACAUGUGUUGCUCUUCUUUUCUCUUUCUAUUUCGUUGUCGGUCUCUUUUAGUUUCCAUACUUUAUUCGUUCCUUCUAUCACAUGUAUUCUUCUUCUAUUCUUCCAGCUUUGUUUCUUCGCUUUUGUUUUACGUUUUGUUCCUUUCAGCUGUUUCGUGCCUCCUUUUCCCCAUGUCUGCUCGGGGCAAGCGGAAACCUAAUCACGGUGCCUCCUCGUCCGUCGGAGUUUCCGUUGGUGGCCGUCGCAGGUGUAGCCGUCUUCCAACCUUUUCUGUUAUUCCACAGUACCUUGAUUCCGGGGACUGUGACUGUAUUUGUAAGUUAUGUGAUGCAUAUUUCUGGUAUGUUGAGAGGGUUCUGAAGUUCUCCACAGCUAGUCAUCCGAGGUAUAAUCAUUGUUGCAGGGGUGAGGAUGUUGUUCUUCCUUACCAACUACAAUUCUCCACUUGUUCCUAACUAUUUAAUAACGACGCCAUAUCUAAAUUCCUUAGUGGUAGCGAAAUUGCAAUCAACCUAUGGAAAGAAUUCUUAACUAAUUCAUAGAAAUUCAAUCGUGACCUCUUAAAUCCACCACCUGCAACGAUAGUAGUUGCAGUCACGAACUUAAAACCCUCGACAUCUGCUGGAGCGUUACGCCAUGGAUCAUCACACGCUACACAUGUCUAUGUUAACCCGCAAAUACCAGAGGCAACGUCCUUGAUAAACAUCUUUAUUGGUCCUUCAAGACCAGUAUCAAUACCGUCAUGGACACCAUCCACCUUGUAUGACAUGAAAACAAAAAACCGAUAUGAGCUCCUGGUAAUAUCAUACCAACACUACCUCUAAUUACAAAUAUGUUACACUUUUAAACAUCUACAACUAACCAAUGCACACUUAGGCCAUCCGUUAUACCCACCACAUACCACAUAUGUGGUGGGUGCCACAUCAGCACCACAUUCCACUACCACAUACAUGGGGUACUUACCACUAAACACACCACUCCACCUCAUUUUUUUAUUUAAAUUUAAUUCAAAAAUACAUUAAAACACCACUCCACCUCAUUUUUUAUUUAAAUUUAAUUCAAAAAUACAUUAAAAACAUUUUUUUAAUACUAUUUUUCCAUUAAAUUAAAAUACCAAAUUACAUUAAAUAAAACCAAAUUAAUUGAAAAUUAAAAAAUAAAAUAAAAAUAACAAUCAAAAUAAAAAUUACAUUAGUUAAUUUAAAAAAAAUUAAAAAAAAAAACAUUAAAAAAACUAAAAAUUCCAACCAUACAUAAAAUAAACUACCCCCUACGCCUACGUCGGGCUCGAACCGACUCUUUCAUUGCUAAAAAAAGUUCCAAGUCUUCGCCCUCAAGGUCGUCCGCUUUCAUUUUCAAGAUUUCCAUAUCGGUUUUUGUUUGGAGUGUCUCUUGUGCCUCUUGAAAUGAUGUUUGUGCUUCGAUCAUUUUUUGUUCCAUCCGAGUCAUCACCUCAGCCUUCGUUUCUUGAAGCUGCACAUAUCGAUCAAAUUUAUCGCCGAACAUAUCCAUAACACUAGAAUUCGAAGAUGUUGACGCCGCUUUUUUUGCUUUAUUUCUUCCAACGGGCCGAGGAAGAGGUUGGUCGGUUUCAAGAUCUAUCGGAUCGUCGUUGAUGUCGAUGUGUGUUCGGCCGUCCGAUUGUUGAGAAGUUCCAUCGGGGUUUCUCGAACGCUUUGAACCGGAAGAUUGGGAACUUCUUUCCGUUUGCUCUUUCCAUUUUAGGGAGUCUUUCAAUUUUAGCCACGGCUUCAUAUACGGAAAAGCUUUGCGUGUAGGCGUUGUUUUUUCAUAUUGGUCCAUGGCCGCCUUGAAAACAUCAAAAUCGUUCGAGCCGCUUUUGCGUAUGUUUAGGAGAUUGUUGUAGAUUCCUCCAAAAUCGGUGCAUUUUAAUCGAAUAUCUCGCCAUUUCGACGUAAUUUGAUCGGCAUUUCGAGCUUAACUUUCCAUUAAGUCGUAAAAAAUGGCUCGGACUUUUUCCCAAAAACUUCCGUACGCCUGGCUAUCUCCUACAAUUGGAUCUUCGGAAGCCGCCACCCAUGCCUCCACUAACUUUUCUUCUUCUUCUUUUGUCCAUGGGACCCUUUCUUGGUUGGUAGUGGGUCGGGCCGUUUUUUUUUCCUUUUUUCUUUUCUGGUUGAGGUGGUGGUGAAGGUUACGUUUCCGGAACAAAAUCCGGCGAAAGUGGUGGUUAUGAGCUUGGUGGUUGUUGUUGUUGUGACGAUUGUUGUUGGAGUUGUUGUAGUUGUUGGAAUUGUUGAAAUUGUUGGUAUUGUUGUUGCAUUUGUUGUUGUUGGAAAGCCGGAAAAGGUUGAUAUUGUUGUUGGAAAAGUGGUGUUUGUUGGAUAGGGGAACCACUUUGAAGUAGAUUGAUAAAACCGCCUUGAGGUGACUCCAUCGUCGGGAAUUGUCGAGGUGUUGUGUCUAACGCAAAAGCGUUAUCGGGUUUGCGAUUUCGGUUGUUUGGAGGGGUAUUUUGGUUGGGAUCCAUGAUUUUUGGUUGUGAAGAUGUAGUGUGUAGUUUGUGUAUAGAGAAAGAAAAGAAUGGUGUAAAAAAUAAGGAGUAAAAGUAUGGUAUUUAUAGGUAAAUAAAUUGUUUAUUAUUAUUUUUUUUUUAUACAAUCUAGCCGUUGUUAAACGGCUACACCAAAAAGAGAAACGGUCGAAUUCUUUGCGCAUCGGAUUGGUCGUUUGCAUUCGUUGUCCGGGCCACGGAAGGCCACGACCACGACCCACCACGAACCACCGGGGUGGUGUGCACGGCCGUGGUUCGUGGCCAACUAGACCACGGACGACUUCGUGCUAUGUACACCGGGUGGUCUUACAGGACAAAACGUUCAUCGUACGGGGCUUAAUCACAAACUUUGUGUUUCAAAACAAUUGGUACCAAACAACAUGUCCGACCUGCAAGGAUCCCAUAUUAAAAAGGGGUCCACAGUGGUACUGUAGCGCUCACUCGACCAUAGAAAACCCAACUUUCACGUAAGCAUAUCCCCAAAUAAACAAAACACAAUUCUUCACUCAAUGUUAUGCUAACAAUUUUUUUUGACCAUAUAUACAAAUUCACUAUCACCAUCAGUGAUCCUACGGACUCGAUAUCCGCAAUCAUAUCUGACACCUCAUGUCGCAAGCUGCUAAACUCGACGCUUGAAAAGUUAAUAUCCGAUAAUCCGCUCAUAAAUAGAAAGAUCCUACCCUCAAUCAUCAGCGGCCACAAAGGACAAACAAAAACAAUGUCAAUCUAAAUGAUAAGGACAUCCACUCCCGACAAUGUUCGCUUCAUAAUAGUAGACACGGAAGAAUCCAGAACCAUGCGUGAGACGUUAAUCCCAACAACUCCAGUUCCAAUUCCAAUCACAAGAAUGACACCACAUGACAACACACCAGAUUCAUCCACAUCGACAGCACGAGUUGCGCGCACUCUCUCCUACGACUCUACAUGUACAUACAUAACCACCAAAAUUAAAACUAAAAAAAAUAAUACCGAAAACAUACUAACAAAGUUGUCUUCCUGUCCAGCAGAACCCACACCAACAAAAAAUCUGAAGCGUACCUACAAAGAAUGACCACCGUGGACCACCACUCAGAUUGUAUCUUUUGGUUGUAUAAUAAACAAACAACACAUAUUGAUGUUUUGAAUCGCCGACAUGCGAUGUUUCUAUCUUUUGUAGUAUAAACAUACGAUCACGUCUCCUUAGUCCCUUAAAUCCUUAUAAAAAACUGUGCUUUCCUCCAUCCUCUAUGUCUUAUAUUCUUCUUUAUCAACUUAAUUUGUUACACAAAUUCAUAUAAAAGUGGUAACAAACUGAAACGAGAUAGCAUAGAUUGGUUCCCUACAGGUUUGUUACAUAAAUAAAUCAUUACUCAUUUUCCAAUCAAAUUACAUUCACAAAAAGCAACUAAAAUAACUAUUCUAAUUUAGACUAUGUUCAUCUAAACUACUUCACACCAACUUUCGCAGAUAACAUAACCCAAACUUUUGACCCAUAUUGUAUGAAGCCCAAUCCAGAACACAUACAAUAACAUUUUUAAAAUAGAUUAUGAUGUAUAAUAACAAACAUGGAUAAUGAUGCUAUUAAUAGCCAACAAAACUGCACACUUCUUUAAGAGUUAAUGAAAACACCUCAAACAACACGCCAUUUAAUCUUCAACUCCAUAAUAAAUACAAAAUAACUAACACAA